GAUUGAACGCUGGCGGCAGGCCUAACACAUGCAAGUCGAGCGGUAGCACAGAGAGCUUGCUCUCGGGUGACGAGCGGCGGACGGGUGAGUAAUGUCUGGGAAACUGCCUGAUGGAGGGGGAUAACUACUGGAAACGGUAGCUAAUACCGCAUAACGUCGCAAGACCAAAGUGGGGGACCUUCGGGCCUCAUGCCAUCAGAUGUGCCCAGAUGGGAUUAGCUAGUAGGUGGGGUAACGGCUCACCUAGGCGACGAUCCCUAGCUGGUCUGAGAGGAUGACCAGCCACACUGGAACUGAGACACGGUCCAGACUCCUACGGGAGGCAGCAGUGGGGAAUAUUGCACAAUGGGCGCAAGCCUGAUGCAGCCAUGCCGCGUGUGUGAAGAAGGCCUUCGGGUUGUAAAGCACUUUCAGCGGGGAGGAAGGCGGUGAGGUUAAUAACCUCACCGAUUGACGUUACCCGCAGAAGAAGCACCGGCUAACUCCGUGCCAGCAGCCGCGGUAAUACGGAGGGUGCAAGCGUUAAUCGGAAUUACUGGGCGUAAAGCGCACGCAGGCGGUCUGUCAAGUCGGAUGUGAAAUCCCCGGGCUCAACCUGGGAACUGCAUUCGAAACUGGCAGGCUAGAGUCUUGUAGAGGGGGGUAGAAUUCCAGGUGUAGCGGUGAAAUGCGUAGAGAUCUGGAGGAAUACCGGUGGCGAAGGCGGCCCCCUGGACAAAGACUGACGCUCAGGUGCGAAAGCGUGGGGAGCAAACAGGAUUAGAUACCCUGGUAGUCCACGCUGUAAACGAUGUCGAUUUGGAGGUUGUGCCCUUGAGGCGUGGCUUCCGGAGCUAACGCGUUAAAUCGACCGCCUGGGGAGUACGGCCGCAAGGUUAAAACUCAAAUGAAUUGACGGGGGCCCGCACGAGCGGUGGAGCAUGUGGUUUAAUUCGAUGCAACGCGAAGAACCUUACCUGGUCUUGACAUCCACAGAACUUAGCAGAGAUGCUUUGGUGCCUUCGGGAACUGUGAGACAGGUGCUGCAUGGCUGUCGUCAGCUCGUGUUGUGAAAUGUUGGGUUAAGUCCCGCAACGAGCGCAACCCUUAUCCUUUGUUGCCAGCGGUUAGGCCGGGAACUCAAAGGAGACUGCCAGUGAUAAACUGGAGGAAGGUGGGGAUGACGUCAAGUCAUCAUGGCCCUUACGACCAGGGCUACACACGUGCUACAAUGGCAUAUACAAAGAGAAGCGACCUCGCGAGAGCAAGCGGACCUCAUAAAGUAUGUCGUAGUCCGGAUUGGAGUCUGCAACUCGACUCCAUGAAGUCGGAAUCGCUAGUAAUCGUAGAUCAGAAUGCUACGGUGAAUACGUUCCCGGGCCUUGUACACACCGCCCGUCACACCAUGGGAGUGGGUUGCAAAAGAAGUAGGUAGCUUAACCUUCGGGAGGGCGCUUACCACUUUGUGAUUCAUGACUGGGGUGAAGUCGUAACAAGG
rnacentral:rRNA from 1 species